AAAGUCGUAACAAGGUCUCCGUUGGUGAACCAGCGGAGGGAUCAUUACAGAGUUGUCUCAACUCCCAAACCCCCUGUGAACAUACCUACGUUGCCUCGGCAGGCCGCCGCCCGACUCAGCUGCGGGCGGCCCUGCCGGCGGCCCACGAAUACUCUGUUCUCUCGUGACAUUCUGAAUUGUACACUAAAAUACGUUAAAACUUUCAACAACGGAUCUCUUGGUUCUG
rnacentral:misc_RNA from 1 species